rnacentral:rRNA from 1 species
UACAGAGACUGCAAGCGUUAUUCGGAUUCACUGGGCGUAAAGGGUGCGCAGGCGGUUGGGUGUGUCAGAUGUGAAAUCCCGAGGCUCAACCUCGGAACUGCGUCUGAAACUACUCGACUAGAGUACUGGAGAGGGUAACGGAAUUCACGGUGUAGCAGUGAAAUGCGUAGAUAUCGUGAGGAACACCAGAGGCGAAGGCGGUUACCUGGACAGUUACUGACGCUCAGGCACGAAGGCCAGGGGAGCAAACGGG